rnacentral:rRNA from 1 species
UACGAAGGGGGCUAGCGUUGUUCGGAAUUACUGGGCGUAAAGGGCGCGUAGGCGGCCCUGUCAGUCAAGCGUGAAAGCCCCGGGCUCAACCUGGGAAUUGCGCCUGAUACUGCAGGGCUUGAGGGUCGGAGAGGAUGGUGGAAUUCCCAGUGUAGAGGUGAAAUUCGUAGAUAUUGGGAAGAACACCGGUGGCGAAGGCGGCCAUCUGGACGACAUCUGACGCUGAGGCGCGAAAGCGUGGGGAGCAAACAGGAUUAGAUACCCUGGUAGUCCACGCUGUAAACGAUGAAUGCUAGACGUUGGGGUUCUUGGAACUUCAGUGUCGCCGCUAACGCAUUAAGCAUUCCGCCUGGGGAGUACGGUCGCAAGAUUAAA